GCUAAUAUAGCGUAGUGGUUUGAGUGUUGGACUAGAACUCUAGAGACCAGGGUUCGAAACCAUGGAAACUCA